rnacentral:rRNA from 1 species
UACGUAGGGUGCAAGCGUUAAUCGGAAUUACUGGGCGUAAAGCGUGCGCAGGCGGUUAUGUAAGACAGUUGUGAAAUCCCCGGGCUCAACCUGGGAACUGCAUCUGUGACUGCAUAGCUAGAGUACGGUAGAGGGGGGAUGGAAUUCCGCGUGUAGCAGUGAAAAUGCGUAGAUAUGCGGGAGGAACACCGAUGGCGAAGGCAAUCCCCCUGGACCUGUACUGACGCUCAUGCA